rnacentral:rRNA from 1 species
UACAGAGGGUGCAAGCGUUAAUCGGAGUUACUGGGCGUAAAGGGCGCGUAGGCGGUUAUAUGUGUGAGGUGUGAAAUCCCUGGGCUUAACCUAGGAACUGCAUCUUAAACUGUAUAACUGGAGUACUGUAGAGGGUAGUGGAAUUUCCGGUGUAGCGGUGAAAUGCGUAGAGAUCGGAAAGAACACCAACGGCGAAAGCACUCUGCUGGGCCGACACUGACACUGAGAGACGAAAGCUAGGGGAGCGAAUGGG